rnacentral:snoRNA from 13 species
CCCCCGUCUCUUAUGAUGAACCCAUUUGCUUCUGAGCUGCUGUGAUUUUUGGCUUCAAAGUAAACGCGCUGAAGAAGAGUUGGGA